rnacentral:rRNA from 1 species
UGAACGCUGGCGGAAUGCUUUACACAUGCAAGUCGAACGGUAGAGGGGGCAACCCCUCGAGAGUGGCGAACGGGUGAGUAAUAUAUCGGAACGUGCCCAGUCGUGGGGGAUAACGUAGCGAAAGUUACGCUAAUACCGCAUACGCCCUGAGGGGGAAAGCGGGGGAUCGCAAGACCUCGCGUGAUUGGAGCGGCCGAUGUCGGGUUAGCUAGUUGGUGGGGUAAAGGCCUACCAAGGCGACGAUCCGUAGCGGGUCUGAGAGGAUGAUCCGCCACACUGGGACUGAGACACGGCCCAGACUCCUACGGGAGGCAGCAGUGGGGAACUUUGGACAAUGGGGGCAACCCUGAUCCAGCCAUGCCGCGUGAGUGAAGAAGGCCUUCGGGUUGUAAAGCUCUUUCAGACGGAAAGAAAACGCCCCUGUUAAUACCGGGGGUGGAUGACGGUACUGUCAGGAGAAGCACCGGCUAACUACGUGCCAGCCGCCGCAGUAA